CACAGACAGACAUGGCAGUACACGUCAAAAAGUUUAACAACGGAGAUCGGAUAGCAAGUUAACUGUUUUUAACUGAAGUUUUCAUGUACCUUGUCAACUAGGUGCUUGUGACAAUAGAAAUGAAAUGAUCUAAUCCAAAAAGGCAAGCUCACAACCUACGUCUUCUGAAGAAAAAUCAUUUCUGUUGCAGUUUUAAAUCUUCAAGAUAUUGAUGCCUUCGCCAGAUUGUUGUGCAUCAAGUUAACCUGUGGCUGUUCCUUGUUGCUGGUUUAGCGUUUAUGUUCGCGUAGUUGCUGUCCGAUGUGGCACGUUGUUGCAGCCUAU
rnacentral:lncRNA from 1 species